UACGGGGGGAGCAAGCGUUGUUCGGAUUUACUGGGCGUAAAGGGCGCGUAGGCGGCCUGUGCAAGUCAGUUGUGAAAUCUCCGGGCUUAACUCGGAACGGUCAACUGAUACUGCUCGGCUAGAGUGCGGAAGGGGCAACUGGAAUUCUUGGUGUAGCGGUGAAAUGCGUAGAGAUCGGAAAGAAUAUCGAUGGCGAAGGCAGCGGCCUGGGUUUAGACUGACACUGAGGUGCGAGAGCGGUGGGGGAGCAAACAGG
rnacentral:rRNA from 1 species